UACGUAGGGGGCAAGCGUUGUCCGGAAUCAUUGGGCGUAAAGCGCGUGUAGGCGGUCCGGUAAGUCCGCUGUGAAAGUCCAGGGCUCAACCCUGGGAUGCCGGUGGAUACUGUCGGGCUAGAGUACGGAAGAGGCGAGUGGAAUUCCCGGUGUAGCGGUGAAAUGCGCAGAUAUCGGGAGGAACACCAAUUGCGAAGGCAGCUCGCUGGGACGUUACUGACGCUGAGGCGCGAAAGCGUGGGGAGCAAACAGG
rnacentral:rRNA from 1 species